UACACGACUGAGGGGUUCCUCCCACAUCUAUGUUUUGAAAUUUUUUACGGUGGCGAAAUGACGGAAAUGCCCACAGCAAACCGGCCUGGUUCCCCCUCGAGAACCUUACUCGACUUCCCUCUUUUCUCGGGCGCAGCUUAAAAUCGCGCCGGCGGAGGCUGCGGCGGGAGCUUCACGGCUUGGUGGAGCUGGGAGCCUCCGGCGCUCCUCCAUUGGAGAUCUUCGGUAUUCCCCAGUACCUCCUUCAUGGCCGUCCUCAUCUCCUCAACCGCCGUGUCCAUGUCCGUAGUGUCGCCGUCCACGGCACAUCUUUAUCCGACCGUACGCGUGUUGAUCCUCCACACUCGCCGGAGAGCGAAGUUCUGAGAUCGGAAUCGAAUUCGAUGGUCCGAACCCGGAGAUCCACAUCAAUGGCCGCUCGAAAAAGCUAUAGACAUCAGCGGGAAAACAUCGAUCCUGGCUUUCUCUCGGUAGAAUUCCUGGCUGUUGUAUACAGCAUGGGACAAUCUCCGUUCUGUGCAGUGAGAGAGCACAUUUGAAGAGAUUAUUCUAGAGAUAGAAAUUAUUGUUGAAGCUCUCAUCCGACUCCCUGAUGAAGGAAAUUUCAGAGAUCCAAUAGGAGAUGACAACGAGUCUGUUGGCUGCCUGCAUACUCUACGCUUGUUGUAUACACUCGCGUUAGUUAUAUAGGUCAAGUGAGUUUAAGGUUGUUUUGUACUAUAUUCAAAGUAUCUCAUGGAUUGGAUCCCCCAUAUGUAGAUUUGUCGAUCCAGAGCCUUUGUCGCAGAGCUUCUAGGUCGAUGAACCAAUUCUCGAAGGAGGUGGAGAACAAAUCAGCAGAAAUGUCUGUCCAUGAAGGCUCAGAAUAUGCCAAGCAGGAUGGCUCAGCUGUGUUGUUUGGAGCUGGACCAUGGAACCAACUAUUUGGCGUUGUCAUAUCACAAGCAUUUGCUGCUGGACUUACAGGCCCAAUUAACUAUGUUUUGAAAAACUCAUGAUCAUUGUUGAGGUACCUGCAGUGCAGAGUCGAAAAAAGAAAAGAAAAUCAAGAAAUUUGUUUUAAGUUGAAUUGCAUUCUCAGAAUCCUGUUCUGCCUUUGGAGGUGUAGGUUCAUAGUUGAAAAUGCACUAAGUAUGGUAUAUAACCAAAAAAAUCCUAUGGAAAAUGAUGUAUGUAAGUUAUUCUUGGUGUCCUGAAUUAGGAACUUCUCACAGUUAUUCUUGGUGUCCUGUGUGAAUUUUUCUGAGUGGUAAACUUUUGUUGUACCGUGGGAAGAAGUUUGCAAGGGAUGGAUAACCUGCAGUCUAGAACAAGAACAAUGCAGGGCAAUGGAGGGCGAAGCCGAAAGCGCUCUCUCAGCUGGCAACUUAUUGCGCUGAAAAUUUGCCUGACACUGUGAUGUGAUUUUUCAAGAUGGUCAGAGAGGCAGAGGCAGGCACACAGGGUGGGGUGGGGUGGGGAUGAAGGCCCCCACUUUGAGGCACUCACAUCCUUUGCUGUAGGACAAAAUUUUCUUUUCAUAGCACCGCAAGAUUUUGCCGCCUUUAAACCCCACAGCUCUGUUUUUACGGUGCAUCCGUCGUCAUCAUCAAGUAAGUCAUUAUUAUUUACUAGCGCCGGCUGAUAAAAUAGUACCGAUCAAUUUAUGCUAAAUUUUCUGGAUGUACUUUGUAGCAUGCAUGACAUUUGAAUUCUCCUCGAAUAUUGAGUUGAUUAAAUAGUGAUUUGAAUAUGAUAUUUGGUGAUAGUAAAUUGUGCAUUUUGCUUUUUAAAAAAAUGGCUAGAAUUGCAUAGUAUAAAAAUUGAAACUAAUUUUUUGGGUUGUAGUUUGAAUAUUGGUUUGGAAAUAUUUUGUAAGAGCAAACAAUAUAUUUUUAUAUUGCACAGUAAAGAAUCUAGAACCAAAUUUGUUGGUAUUGGUUUGAAUAGUGGUUUGUAGACGAUGUUUUGUAAGAGAAAAAAAUAUAUUUUUACCAGAGUAUCGUAAUGAUUGUAUAGUAAAGAAAUUGGCAUCAAAUGUUUUAUUUUUUGUUUUUGUUUGUGUUUGACUAGUGAUUUGUUUUGUAAAAGAAAAUAAUAUUUUCUAGAGAGGAUUGUAAUGAUUGUAUAGUAUAAAGAAACUAAUGAUGUUCUGUGAUAGAAAAUAAUUUAUUCUUAUUGUGAAAGUUACAAUAAAUAAACUAAAAUCAAAAUUUGAUACUAUCUCCGUUCCAUAGAAGGUUGCCAUUAGCCUUUUGUACCAUUGUACUAAAUGAUAAAAAUAUCAUUUAGUAUAUUAUAAGAGACUAAUAGAGGUAUUUUUGUUAUUUUUUCUUAAUUAAUAUUCAAAGAUUUACAAUACUCUUCUUAUGAACGAAGGUAGUAUUUUGGUUUAAGUAGUAGUUUGGAUAUGAUGUGUUUUGUAGGAGAAAAUAGUAUAUUUGUAUAUGAUUGCAUAAUAAAGAAUCUGAAAUGAAAUUUCCAAAGUAAAUAGAGAAAGGUGUGUUAGUUGUAGAGUGAAAAGGGUUGAGACGGGGGCCUGAAAGUGAUGAUAUUGGGGGAACAUGUACCUCUAAAAUUGGGGAAGCAGCCAAGGGCAUGUUUGGGUGUUAAAAACCAGUUUUCAGACAGGCACAAACUCUUGCUGGGGACUGUAAUGCAUCACAUGGAACUGUGAGCCUCUCUCUCUCUCUCUCUCCUUCUCUCUCUCUCACUAUAUAUAUAUAUAUGUUUGUAUGUAUGUAUUGUGUGUGUUGUUGUUGUUGUUGCUUCAGGACAUGCCAACAUUUCCAAUCUUCCCAUAUGUCUAUGUGUGGAGGAUGUAUGUAUAUAUAUAUAUAUAUAUAUUAUGUAGAUGUAGAUAGAUAGAUACAUACAAUAUGCUCAAUCCCAUUCACCCCUUCCCACUCACCACUCAAAUAAUAAAUACUAAUAUUAUUCUUUCUUUUCUUAUCUACUUUUUGUGGCAAGAAGCUAUGU